UUUUGGACAAGGUGUCGGUAACCGAAAAGUCGACCUUAACCAGAUACUCCCGGCCGUUACGGUCUCAUUCAGCUUUUCUCGCCACAUAACUAAUAAAAAGCAGAUCUCCGAAGCAUGAAUUGGCCUGGACUCGAUAAAUAACCGGUUACUUACUAUACAAUCACGCGCUUAUUGAUGAGAAGUAAGUUGACACUGGUAGAUAUUGCGUGGAGAAAACGAAAGCAAUCGUGAUUGCGCAAUGAUAAGAUCGGGACCAUAGACUUAUCCUGCAGCGGGUUUAUACAACUUUAUUCAGAUGUUAGCCUAACUCACGAAAUUGUGCUGGCUGCUACGUCUUCGAGAUCCUCACACACAAAAAACGUACUUUAGAUGAAUUGUCUCCCGAAAUUCUCUGUAAUUGGUCUCGUAGUGACAAGUAACAGAUAACCUUGACACCGCAUAGUGUAUGAGUGUUGGGAACUACCGUGCCCGUCAAGCAUAGUUCAGUGCACGGUCAGAGAUCGCAAGGGCCAUCUGCUGAGACGGCUAAGGAUAUUCUGAAACAAAGAACUACAAGGGGAUCUCUUCAGCACGGUGCUGACGGCAGCCACGUCGGCCUCCUGGCAACCGUUCAGCGCUUCGCUAGCGCCACUUAACAGAGAUCUUCAGCGAAGAAUGCCCAGCUGACGAGCGCAGUUGCCGCCACCGACUCUGGAGGCGUAAUCAGAAUCUUUCGAUUAAACACAAACGAACUAUCGUUUAUCAAAAAAUGUAAUUCGGUAGCUAGAUUGAGCGACGAGCGAUAACAACCAGCAUUAACAAGUUAAUACCCAUCUCUCAUCUAGCAGCUGUUCCGCGAACCCUUUGCGAACAGGAUGGCCAUAAUUGACAUUUACAAUCUAGGAAACCCAGUAAAUUGCUACUAUACAUUAAGAAAUGUCGCCACGAAGUCUGCCGCCUCGUAACUUAGCCCGUCAAAUACGCAGCACUCAAAAUGGAGAACCAACCCAUAGCUUUUCAUGAACUCUCUCACGAACCGCGCUCCAUAAACGGUUGCAGGAAAUAGACCUCUCCUGAGCGUCCCGCCUUUCAUGGUUUCGCCAUACCACCAGCCGUCAGCGCUUUUCCUAAGGACUCCAAC